rnacentral:rRNA from 1 species
GACGAACGCUGGCGGCGUGCCUAACACAUGCAAGUCGAGCGAGGAGAGUUCCUUCGGGAACAAACCUAGCGGCGGACGGGUGAGUAACACGUGGGCAACCUGCCUUGUAGAGGGGAAUAGCCUUCCGAAAGGAAGAUUAAUACCGCAUAACAUUACAGUUUCGCAUGAAACAGCAAUUAAAGGAGUAAUCCGCUACAAGAUGGGCCCGCGGCGCAUUAGCUAGUUGGUGAGGUAACGGCUCACCAAGGCGACGAUGCGUAGCCGACCUGAGAGGGUGAUCGGCCACAUUGGGACUGAGACACGGCCCAGACUCCUACGGGAGGCAGCAGUGGGGAAUAUUGCACAAUGGGGGAAACCCUGAUGCAGCAACGCCGCGUGAGUGAUGAAGGUUUUCGGAUCGUAAAGCUCUGUCUUCGGGGACGAUAAUGACGGUACCCGAGGAGGAAGCCACGGCUAACUACGUG